rnacentral:rRNA from 1 species
UACGAAGGGUGCAAACGUUGCUCGGAAUUAUUGGGCGUAAAGCGCACGUAGGCGGCUUUGCAAGUCCCAUGGUGAAAGCCCACGGCUUAACCGUGGAAGUGCAUGGGAAACUGCAGAGCUUGAGUACUUAAGAGGAUCGCGGAAUUCCCGGUGUAGAGGUGAAAUUCGUAGAUAUCGGGAGGAACACCAGUGGCGAAGGCGGCGAUCUGGGAAGAUACUGACGCUGAGGUGCGAAAGCGUGGGGAGCAAACAGG